CAGCCGCCGCGGUAAUACGAAGGGUGCAAGCGUUACUCGGAAUUACUGGGCGUAAAGCGUGCGUAGGUGGUGGUUUAAGUCCGUUGUGAAAGCCCUGGGCUCAACCUGGGAAUUGCAGUGGAUACUGGGUCACUAGAGUGUGGUAGAGGAUAGUGGAAUUUCCGGUGUAGCAGUGAAAUGCGUAGAGAUCGGAAGGAACAUCUGUGGCGAAGGCGACUAUCUGGGCCAACACUGACGCUGAGGUGCGAAAGCGUGGGGAGCAAACAGGAUUAGAUACCCCAGUAGUCCCUGUCUCUUAUAC
rnacentral:rRNA from 1 species